UAAGUUUCUGUGUUAUUUCACUUCAUCCUAACAUUUCUUUCCCUUUGUCAGUUCUUUUAGGCAAAUGCAAAUGAUUCACGUGGUGAGGAACGAGAGGGGAAACGCACAACAAGCUGUCCUUUUCCAGUGUCAGGCCGGCUCACUUCCCACUUCCCAGUUCACAACCAGAACCUAAAGCAUGGUUUGAACAGGAAUCAGCAAGCAGACGACAAGAGACAGACAAGUCUGACCUGAAGUUUGUGGUCCAACUUAUUUUUUUCCAAUGAUGGUGGGCUUCAUUUUUAGCAGCAACGUUUUUUUUAGAGUUCAUCUACUCUGCCAAACCGCAGCAUUGAGGAUUUUGUUUGGGAGUCCUAGACCACCAAUAAUCGGCAUUGCCUAGGUGCCAAGCCUGCUGGAUUGCACCCUGGGCUCCCAGUCUAAGGCAACCUGUGCAGGGAGAAUGCUGCAGUCAUGCCCGGUUGCAUCCCAGUGCUUCCUACAAACUGAGCAACACAACUGGGUGCAGCUCACUUGCAAGUCUGCCAAGUCUUUAUAGCUCCUUAAAUCCCACCACAUCCUCACUCCUUACACACAUUCACCACUCUCGGGUACACAUUGUAAAAAGUCAGUCAGUCCCAGCUAUUUGGCACCACAGAAGUAGCAAAACACCUAGGAGCAACCUAAGCUCAGAAGAGAUUCGGACACCACCAGUACAAACAGAGAUGCGGAUUCUUCAUUGCUCUUGCAAGGAGGCUGCAUUCUGAGCAUGGCAGAGCUGCCCUAGGCUGGCUGCUCACACAGUAAGGAAGAACUAUGCUUUCAGUCCAAGGAAGCGUCCACAUCUGUGACACUAACCUUUGCAGAUGACACUCACAUUUGCAGACAGGGUCCAGAAUCCAGGAGACCCACCUGUAGCUGCUUUGUCCUCCUCUCGCCUUCAUAAGGAGCUGAAACCAGGACAUGCGGAGCAGCUGAACAUCUGGAGAGGAGGUGACUUCCUGUCUCCACUGUGUUCCAUUUUCAUUCUUUUCUGGAAAUGGAAGCUUGAAAUUUGAUUCUGACAGGGUCAAUUUUGGAUGUAAAAAUCAACAGAGAAAUCAACAGAGAAGCACUUGCUCUAGUCUCCUACAAUAAGUGAUUCAGCACUUGUGGCUGAUUGCUGAAAACCCUCUGAAGCUGAAUUUUAUUGGCCAGAUUCAUUGAUUUUUUUAAGACCAGAGGAGAACAGUAUCAUUUGGUCUCAGCUCCUUCAUACCAGAGACCAUAACUUUAACUGAAUUACAGCAUAUUUUAAAGAACAGUAAAAUCUUGUUUGCAUAGAAAUUUACAUAUGCUUUGGUAAGCUACUCUGAAGAUUAAAUAUUAUUCUAUUUCAACAUCUGCACCUUGAUUCUUUCCCCCAGUUAUUCAGUUUGAUAAUUUUAAUCUACUGUGUCUCUUACUUAAGCUGGGGAAGUGGUGGAGUUUCUAUUUCAAUAGAUACAGGACAAUAAUCCAUCCAGAACCCCAUGAAUGUGCCAGUAAGUCUGCAUAAAAUAUGGGUGGAAGCUCAUCUUGGG
rnacentral:lncRNA from 1 species